CCGCCGAGGAAUGAGGCAGUGACACAGAAGGAUAACUCGAGCCGGGUGAUGGUCAACCCGGUCCAAGCGGUAAGCUUGGGAUGUAGUGAAGUACGCAUCCCUUUAAGGUAAGCCGUGAUGGGGACCGAAAUAAAGUAGGGAAGCGAGUGAGUUCACGCUGGCGAGAAAAGCUGCUAGUAUAUCCGAAGGCGCCCGUACCGGAAACCGACGCAGGUGGGCGAGGAGAGAAUCCUGAGACGAACGGGAGAACCCUUGUUAAGGAACUCGGCAAAAUGACCCCGUAACUUCGGGAGAAGGGGUGCCUCGAAAGAGGCCGCAGAGCAUAGGCCCAAGCGACUGUUUAGCAAAAACACAGGUAUCUGCGAAAGCGAGAGCUGACGUAUAGGUGCUGACACCUGCCCGGUGCUGGAAGGUUAAGGGAAAAUGUCAGGGCAACCGAAGCAUAGAACCGAAGCCCCAGUAAACGGCGGCCGUAACUAUAACGGUCCUAAGGUAGCGAAAUUCCUUGUCGGGUAAGUUCCGACCCGCACGAAUGGUGUAACGAUUUGGGCACUGUCUCAACAGGGGGCCCGGUGAAAUUGAAGUAUGGGUGAAGAUGCCCAUUACCCGCGACUGGACGGAAAGACCCCGUAGAGCUUUACUGUAACCUGAUAUUGGAUUUCGGUAACGGAUGCACAGAAUAGGUGGGAGACUGGGAAAUACGUGUUUCGGCAUGUAUGGAGUCGCCGUUGGGAUACCACUCUUCUGUUAUUGGAAUUCUAACAUGACGCCGUAAGCCGGUGAAUGGACAGUGUCAGGCGGACAGUUUGACUGGGGCGGUCGCCUCCGAAAGAGUAACGGAGGCGCCCAAAGGUACCCUCAGAAUGGAUGGAAACCAUUCGAAGAGUGUAAAGGCAGAAGGGUGCCUGACUGCGAGACUGACAAGUCGAGCAGAGACGAAAGUCGGGCUUAGUGAUCCGGCGGUAUGAGAGUGGAGUUGCCGUCGCUUAACGGAUAAAAGCUACCUCGGGGAUAACAGGCUGAUCUCCCCCAAGAGUCCACAUCGACGGGGAGGUUUGGCACCUCGAUGUCGGCUCGUCGCAUCCUGGGGCUGAAGCAGGUCCCAAGGGUUUGGCUGUUCGCCAAUUAAAGCGGCACGCGAGCUGGGUUCAGAACGUCGUGAGACAGUUCGGUCCCUAUCCAUCGUGGGCGUAGGAGUCAUGAGAGGAGCUGUUCCUAGUACGAGAGGACCGGAAUGGACGCACCACUGGUGCAACUGUUGUUCUGCCAAGGGCACAGCAGGGAAGCGAAGUGCGGAAGAGAUAAACGCUGAAGGCAUCUAAGCGUGAAGCCCACCUCAAGAAUAAGACUCCCAUCUCUAUAAGAGAGUAAGACCCCCGGAAGACUACCGGGCGAUAGGUCAGCGGUGUAAGCGUAGUAAUGCGUGAGCUUGCUGAUACUAAUAGGUCGAGGGCUUGAUC
rnacentral:rRNA from 1 species